GGGGGGCCUAGGCAGCAGGGCUUUUCCCCUGGCCGAGAAACCAUGGACUAAAUUCUCCCCGGGCAAUCCACCAGCGCAUUUGGAGGCCCAAGAGAUAGGGGCAGCCCCGCCCUUUCCACGGGUGAGGCUUCCAUGCCUGGUGAGGUCAGGGAGAAAACCCUCGUCGCUUGGUCUCGCGAACGAGAGGCGGCGGUGACCAGAUCAAGAACUCCUCCGCCCUUCUUCGUCCAACGCUCCACCGUCCCCCGGCCCUCCUCCAGCAACUGGAAGCGGCACACCCCCAUCUCCCUCCACCUCUACACUCCGCCCCUCUGGUGGGGGCGACGGCGACCGAGUUAUGUCUCAAUGCAUGCGAGAGCUUUAAGUAUAACCAUCCAAGCACAGUGGUAUGUCUUGGUGCAUCUUAAACUUUGUUAUCUUGAUAAGUGCUCUCUCUUGUUUAAUGAAUAUAAUUUAUCUUCUGUUUUUUGGACGUAGGUUCGUAAUGAAAAUGUAGAGGAUUUUCUUUCUUUGCUAAUGGAAUGAUCUGUCCUAUAUGACAAGUACGUCCAUAAAAAUAGUGGCGUUGCCUCAACUAGUUUGUUCGAGGACGAAGGGAAGACCAUGAGCCUGCAAAAAGCAAGCAUGUCGUAGAGAAACUUAGCGCGAUCUGCUAUGGUGGCGCUCACAGAAAAACAAUUUGCAUAUACUUCAAAGUACUUCUCAUUCUAAUCUUGUUCCUUUGUAGCGUUGGUAUAUUUGUUGUUUCCGUACGUGUCAUCCUAAUAUAAUUUUUUAAUAAGUGCAAUGGAAGGACCAUCAGGUCGAGGAUUCCUAGGAGCCCAUGGAGAAACUCCGGUUAGUAUCUAAUCUGAAGUUAUUCUUUAAAAAAUUUAUUUCAAGUGCAAUGAGUCCUUCAAUGUUCAACGCUUUCCCACUUAAAAUUAAAGAAUUUGUUCAAGAAAGCCAUAGGUGAAAAAUCGUACUACUACCGGUGAGUGCUUGAUAUCUUCUUUCUUCUUGAUAAUUUUGGCUAAACACCAGAUUCACUGAUGGUAAUUAAUUGUCCUGUCACAUUUUAAAGGGUGAUGUUGAUGGCUCAAUCCUUGACAGGGCGGGCCACCGGACAACACAUCAACAUCACCCUUUAAAAUGUGACAAGACAAUUGAAUACCAUGUGUUUAGCCAAAAUUAUCAAGAAAGAAGAUAUCAAGCACUCACCGGCAGUGGUAAGAUUUUUCGCCCAUGACCUUUUUGAACAAAUUCUUUAAUUUUAAGUGGGAAAACGCUGAACGUUGAAGGACUCAUUGCACUUGAAAUACAUUUUUUAAAGAAUUACUUUAGAUUAGAUACUAACCAGAGUUUCUCCAUGGGCUCCCAGGAAUCCUCGACCCGAUGGUCAUUCCAUUGCACCUGUUAAAAAAUUAUAUUAGGAUGACAUGUACGGAAACAACAAAUGUAUCAACACUACAAAUGAACAAGAUGACAAUGAGGAGUACCUUGAAGUAUAUGCAAUUUUUUUCUGUCAGUGCCACCAUAGCAGAUCGCGCUAAGUUUCUCUACGACAAGCUUGCUUUUUCCAGGUUCACGGUCUUCCCCUUCAUCCUCGAACAAACUAGUCGAGGCAUCGCUAUUAUUUUUAUGGACGUACUUGUCACAUAGGACACCAUUCCAUUAGCAAAGAAAGAAAAUCCUUCAUUUUUUCAUUACAAACCUACAUCCAAAAAAACAGAAGAUAAAUUAUAUUCAUUAAACAAGAGAGAGCACUUAUACAAGAUAACAAAGUUGAAGAUGCACUAAGACAUACCUCUGUGCUUGGAUGGUUAUACUUAAAGCUCUUGCAUGCAUUGGUAUUAAGAUCUACAACCCAUCGCUACAAAUAUCAACAAAUUGUUCUCUAUCAGCCAAUUGAAGAGCUAUCUGUUUUGAAAGUGCCCAAUGAAUCGAGAGAUUUUCAUCAAUACCAAGAACCCAAGGCUUAGGCUUUUUUGGUUGAAGGAGGAGAUUGCUGCAAUUGAGAGAACAUAAGCCAACAUCAAGUUGUGGUACGCGAUGUCGAUGAGGAGUGGAGAAAAGACUUAAGUUGGACUAGUGACCGUCGCCUUGCAGCAGCGCAUAUUGUUCGAUAGUGUCCCUGCCUUGACAUGGCAACUUGAUAAUCCAGAACUUUUUAACCAUGAUCCUAGGACCGAUAUUUGAACCAUGGUGAAGGGAUGAAACAAAGGAAAUGUGUCAGGGAGGAUUUCUAAAGGAAAUGGCCAUGCUUUAACUAUGGAAAGAGAAGGGAUGCAGAUGGAAAAGCACGAAGCCUCGCUUCAGGACAAAGCGGCAUGGGGAGCUGCGACACAUCUCUUGGGGCUGAUCCUUCCGGUUGAGGCCUCGAAUGCUGAACGGCGUGAUUCCCAAAGAUUGAAGCAAACAUGGAUGAAAUUCACUGUGGCGUCCUGUAGGUUGUCUGGUCGUUUAAGCUUUCCUUGUGCUUCCGCUGAGCUGUAGAACUGGGUAAUCAUGUUGGCUUUACCCUGAGAACCUGAAUGUUUAUGAACCUUUGUUCCAUUGCAUCAUUGGCUGCAAUGGAACAAGGAGUUCUGCUCCUAUCUUCCUAAAAAGGGGAUAGGAAGAUCAGCCGGACAAGAUCUCGUGACAUUGGACAGCUGAUGGCUCUUACAUGGCGGCAUCUGCGUACAAGAUUCAGUUCAUGGGAAGUACAUCCUCAAACCUGAAGGAGCUCAUCUGGAAAACUCCAGUACUGGCAAAGCAGAAGCUCUCGGCUUGGCUGUGUAUUCAAGAUCGCUGUCUAACAGCGGAUAAGCUCGCCAAGAGGGGCUGGCAGCAUGACCCCAUCUGCUCACUCUGGAAGUGUCAGCCGAAGACUGCUGCACAUCUUCGCUCACUGCUCCUUCUCGGCCGAGGUGUGGAGAUUAGCCUUUGCUACUUUCAACUUCCCCCUGAACCUGAUCCCCAGCGUGAUGAUGCCGUCUUUCAGGAAGUGGUGGGGCAAGGUUAUGCUGUCUUGGCCUCAAACGAGUCUGAACAGAAAUGCUCUGCUCCGAUUACCCUGGUUUGUUGGUUCAUUUGGACUGCGCGGAUCUUUGAUGGGGUGGCCUGCACUGCUGCUCGGGUAAUGUGCAAGAUUGAGGAAGAACUGUCGGAAUGGGGAAGCGCCCGGAUCAGGGGUAUGCUAUUACUGUCGCUUAUUCAUCCAUGAUGCACACAAUAUGGUCUGAUUGCCUAAGAAGAUGCCGUUGAAAGGAGCUACUCAGAGUUAGGUGGAAACCUCUGUGAGCUCCUACUCAAUGCUACUAGUGUUUACUGGAUAGCCUUUGGCCUAGGUUUUUCCCCAUGUUGAGCUAUGUCAUGUAUCUCUGUAACAUUUCUUCUCCCUUAAUAUAAUGAAAGCAGCGCUGCUGCUCUUCGUAAAAAAAAAUUGGGAUGUUUUCUUGACUGAAUUCAGUGGAUCAUGAUGUUUCAAGUUGCAUAUCCUUUUAUUAGAUAAUGGAAUGAUAAAUGCGAUGGAGAUGACCAGUUUGUAUGAUGGAAAAGGACCCUUUAUGAAUCUGCAGAUGGCAUGGCAUCUUUGACACAUGAAAUUGGUGUUGCAUUUUCUCUGUCUUCUUAAUUCCAAGGAUGUGGAAGCCCAAGGCCAGUCAGAAGUUCACUGUUGUUCAGACUAUUUUCAGGCUGUGGGCAGUUUGCUAUUUUCAAAUAUCUUGGUCCAUGCUGUAAUGAUUCCCAAUAGGCACCAGUGAUGAAUUUCUGUGGAGAACUAAUGAUUCAUGAAGGAGGGAACUUAACCUUGAGGACAAAAGGAGUAAUGGUGUAGAACACUAGUAAUGCAACGGCAAAUCCCGCGAACAAACUUAUCUGAAAAUAAAAAUGGAAAAAACAAUACAAAGCA